UACGUAGGGGGCAAGCGCUAUCCGGAUUUACUGGGUGUAAAGGGAGCGUAGACGGCUUUGCAAGCCAGAUGUGAAAGCCCGGGGCUCAACCUCGGGACUGCAUUUGGAACUGUAUGGCUGGAGUGUCGGAGAGGCAGGCGGAAUUCCUAGUGUAGCGGUGAAAUGCGUAGAUAUUAGGAGGAACACCAGUGGCGAAGGCGGCCUGCUGGACGAUGACUGACGUUGAGGCUCGAAAGCGUGGGGAGCAAACAGG
rnacentral:rRNA from 1 species